UGGCCGCCAGCGGGGAACUUAGUUUAUCAUAGGACCCUAUGGGAAAUACAUACAAAUGUCUUCUUUUACAGAACCACUGAAUGGAAUGAAACCAAACAUGGCAUGAAUGUUCCUUAUGAGGUGCUGACCAAGUGUUGUUUCUUUGCAGCCGAUCCAUCAUCCAAGAUGGCUGCCAGCGGGGGACUUAGUUUAACAUAGGACCCUACGGGAAAUACAUACAAAAUGUCUUCUUUUAGAGAACCACUGAAUGGAAUGAAACCAAACAUGGCAUGAAUGUUCCUUAUGAGGUGCUGACCAAGUGUUGUUACUUUGCAGUUGGUCCAUCAUCCAAGAUGGCCGACAGCGGGGGACUUAGUUUAACAUAGGACCCUAUGGGAAAUACAUACAAAUGUCUUCUUUUAGAAAACCACUGAAUGGAAUGGAACCAAACAUGGCAUGAAUGUUCCUUAUGAGGUGCUGACCAAGUGUUGUUACUUUGCAGCCGAUCCAUCAUCCAAGAUGGCCGCCAGUGGGUGACUUAGUUUAACAUAGGACCCUAUGGGAAAUACAUACAAAAUGUCUUCUUUUAGAGAACCACUGAAUGGAAUGGAACCAAACAUGGCAUGAAUGUUCCUUAUGAGGUGUUGACCAAGUGUUGUUUCUUUACAGCCGAUCCAUCAUCCAAGAUGGCCGCCAGCGGGGGACUUAGUUUAACAUAGGACCCUACGGGAAAUACAUACAAAAUGUCUUCUUUUAGAGAACCACUGAAUGGAAUGAAACCAAACAUGGCAUGAAUGUUCCUUAUGAGGUGCUGACCAAGUGUUGUUACUUUGCAGUCGGUCCAUCAUCCAAGAUGGCCGACAGCGGGGGACUUAGUUUAACAUAGGACCCUAUGGGAAAUACAUACAAAUGUCUUCUUUUAGAAAACCACUGAAUGGAAUGGAACCAAACAUGGCAUGAAUGUUCCUUAUGAGAUGCUGACCAAGUGUUGUUACUUUGCAGCUGAUCCAUCAUCCAAGAUGGCCGCUAGGGGGGGGGGGGCUUAGUUUAACAUAGGACCCUAUGGGAAAUACAUACAAAUGUCUUCUUUUAGAGUACCACUGAAUGGAAUGAAACCAAACAUGGCAUGAAUGUUCCUUAUGAGGUGCUGACCAAGUGUUGCUACUUUGUUGCCGAUUUACUGUUCAAGAUGGCCACCAGGAUAUUGUAUUAAAUAACGGGACCAAUAUUAAUCCAAAUUUGGCCUCAAUCAUUAUUUGGGUAUCUGUUAUGAUUUUUAUCUAUCUUUACAUGAUUUCUAAGACCAAAGUAGAGUCAGGUGAGCGACACAGGCUCUUGAGAGCCUCUAGUUUUAGUUAU